CCAAUAGCGUAUAUUAAAGUUGUUGCAGUUAAAAAGCUCGUAGUUGAAUUUCGGGGUCAGUAGGUUGGUCGUGCCACUGGUAUGCACUGGCCUUACUGAUUCCUCCUUCUUGAAGAACUGUGAUGUCAUUUACUUGGUGUUGCAGGGAAACAGGACUGUUACUUUGAAAAAAUUAGAGUGUUUAAAGCAGGCUAACGCGUGAAUACAUUAGCAUGGAAUAAUGAAAUAGGACGUUUGAUCCUAUUUUGUUGGUUUCUAGGAUUGACGUAAUGAUUAAUAGGGAUAGUUGGGGGCAUUAGUAUUCAAUUGUCAGAGGUGAAAUUCUUGGAUUUAUUGAAGACUAACUACUGCGAAAGCAUUUGCCAAGGAUGUUUUCAUUAAUCAAGAACGAAAGUUAGGGGAUCGAAGACGAUCAGAUACCGUCGUAGUCUUAACCAUAAACUAUGCCGACUAGGGAUCGGAUGAUGUUAAUUUUUUAAUGACUCAUUCGGCGCCUUACG
rnacentral:rRNA from 1 species